AUGGCCCAAUUUGUCCCUAACUUUGUAGUGAAGGCCUCAACACUGGUGAAUGCUGCUAUGACUUACUUGAAGGUUUGAUUGGCCACAUUUUGGUAUGACACCAAGGUUGAGCUGGUUCCUCCACCCCCUGCUAAUAUACCUAGAACUAUUCAGCGCCUUAAAAAAUAGUAGUGCUCAAAUUGUUAGUUUCAAACAGCUCACAGUUAAGGAAGCUGUGCUGAAUGGUUUGGUGGCCACUGAGGUAUGGAUGUGCUUUUAUAUUGGAGAGAUCAGAGGCAAGUGUGUCAUCAUUGGCUAUAAUGUUUAA
rnacentral:lncRNA from 1 species